GCUGGCGGAGUGCUUAAGACAUGCAAGUCGAGCGAGAAAGUCACCUUCGGGUGGCGAGUACAGCGGCGCACGGGUGAGUAACGCGUGAGUAAUCUGCCCUCAGGUCUGGGACAACUUCGGGAAACUGAAGCUAAUACCGGAUAAGACUUCGAAGCCCUCGGGCUUUGCGGAAAAAGGUGGCCUCUUCUUGAAAGCUAUCGCCUGUGGAUGAGCCCGCGUCUGAUUAGCUUGUUGGUGAGGUAACGGCUCACCAAGGCGACGAUCAGUAGCUGGUCUGAGAGGAUGAUCAGCCACACUGGAACUGAGACACGGUCCAGACGCCUACGGGCGGCAGCAGUCGGGAAUAUUGGGCAAUGGGCGCAAGCCUGACCCAGCAACUCCGCGUGAGGGAUGAAGGCCUUCGGGUCGUAAACCUCUGUCGGGAGGGAAGAAAGGGCCGUUGGGUAAUAUCCAGCGGUCUUGACGGUACCUCCAAAGGAAGCACCGGCUAACUCCGUGCCAGCAGCCGCGGUAAUAC
rnacentral:rRNA from 1 species